UGAACGGCUGUACGUUCCCAGCUAGGUCAACUCUUCUGCUUUCUCUUCCAGCAAGACUACAAGCCUGGUGGCCGUGGUUUCCACCACGUGGUCAGUCCCGCAGAGCCACACCUCCAUUUGUACACGGCAGCUAGCUCAGUAACGUCUUGAUCUGUUGCCUUCAACAGUAGAGUGAUACACACACACACAGCUCCAUUCCAUUGGAGUAGAUUGUAGCACAGCUGCGCCGACGAUCUCUUGCUAUUUUGGACCACAGUGCACAUGCGAAAAUUGAAGCUUUCUGGGAAAAAGGUGCCGCAUGCAAAUUGGGUACAUAGUAGCCAAUCGCAACCAUAAGAAUCAACCGCAUGCAAACUGCUCGAAACAACCAGGAUCGCGUGGUCACAUCCAUGAGCGCACAUCACAAGAAAUGCAAAAAGAAUGUUGCAUAUCCCAUAUGGAAUCGCUAGGUUCACCAACGGAUUGCACCCUGCUAUUUCCCAAACUAAUAGCAUAUGUCAAGCCUUGAUUACCCGAUUUUAUCUUGCGAAAAAAACUCAAGAAAGAAAUAGGAAUUCCCCAUAUGCAUAAUCGGUAGGUGCACACCAAAGCACAAACAACCAGUUAAGAAAUUUUUAGAGAAACGCCUAGGUACACACAAGGUUCUACCCCGCAAUGUCCUAAACAAAUGCACGUGGCAGCCUCCGGUUGGUCACUUCUUUCCGCCAAUCCAAGUGGCUAAACAUGGUGAGAGAAACUUGAUUAGAAAUAGGGUUUUGGGUAUUUGUAAAAUUUUAGCAUUUUUUUCUCUUCCUCCAGUUCGGCUUACAAAGCUUUGUUUUGCAGGCGUGUGUUCACAACGGCGGUGAAAAUCUUCAUUUGGCUUGUGUUGCACGACCAUCUCUAGACCGUGGAUCGCCUAGCCCGUCUCUUGUUGCCGCAUCUGGUUCGCUGAAAACUUUGCAACGGUCUCUGGAAGAUGUGGAACAAAUGAUGUUUCGGUGCACCUACUCUCAACGGGUAUGGGUGGCUAUCCUCAAACCUCUUCAAUUGGUUUGCUUCGCUGGCGGAAUGGUGUCCUUUGCUCGUCGUUGAUGCACGUCGGAAGGAUUUGACCACGGCAGUUAGAUGAAUCCGGAUGGAGCUACAACUCUGGAGGAUGGCAAGAGGGUGCGGAGUGAGUGGUGAGUGAUAAGUUUACUUUUAUCGCGGUGCUAGGGAACCACAUGUGGUUGCCUAGUUUGUACAUCAUCAUGGUUUUGGUCACCUUCUUAAUACAAAUCUCACGCAAUUCUUUUGCACGGUCUUGUUAUUUUUUUUUCACAAGGUACUUUUUCACCAAAGGUUAUGAGGCCUCUCCCGUCAUCGACAUUGUAGUCGCUACUUUUUGAUCAGACUAUCGCCAUUCCUGGCUACUUCUCUUCCCUUUUUUUAAACAAGUGUAGGUUAUCGGAAUGACGCAUUACAGAACGUCAUUACAGAACGUCAUUACAGAACACAAAGAGUUGUGGGCGAUAAUAGUCAUACUGCUUACCAGCAUGUCAUACUUUGGUUCGGCGGUAUUGUUGGAUGAAGCGGCCCGGACCGACAUUAUGUGUACGCUUACACGAGACUGGUUCUACCGACGUGCUUCGCACACAGGUGGCUGGCGGGUGUCAGUUUCUCCAACUUUAGUUGAAUCGAGUGUGGCUACGCCUGGUCCUUGUUGAAGGUUAAAACAACACACUUGACAAAAAAUCGUUGUAGUUUUGAUGCGUAGGUAAGAACGGUUCUUGCUCAGCGCGUAGCAACCACGUAAAACUUGCAACAACAAAGUAGAGGACGUCUAACUUGUUUUUGUAGGGCAUGUUGUGAUGUGAUAUGGUCAAGACAUGAUGCUAAAUUUUAUUGUAUGAGAUGAUCAUGUUUUGUAACAAAGUUGUCGGCAACUGGAGGAGCCAUAUGGUUGUCGCUUUAUUGUUUGAAAUGCAAUCGCCAUGUAAUUGCUUUACUUGAUCACUAAGCGGUAGCGAUAGUCGUAGAAGCAAUAGUUGGUGAGACGACAACGAUGCUAUGAUGGAGAUCAAGGUGUCGCGCCGGUGACGAUGGUGAUCAUGACGGUGCUUUGGAGAUGGAGAUCAAAGGCACAAGAUGAUGAUGGCCAUAUCAUAUCACUUAUAUUGAUUGCAUGUGAUGUUUAUCCUUUAUGCAUCUUAUUUUGCUUAGUUCGGCGGUAGCAUUAUAAGAUGAUCUCUCACUAAAUUUCAAGGUACAAGUGUUCUCCCUGAGUAUGCGCCGUUGCGAAAGUUCGUCGUGCCGAGACACCACGUGAUGAUCGGGUGUGAUAAGCUCUACGUUCACAUACAACAGGUGCAAGCCAAUUUUGCACACGCAGAAUACUCGGGUUAAACUUGACGAGCCUAGCAUAUGCAGAUAUGGCCUCGGAACACUGAGACCGAAAGGUCGAGCGUGAAUCAUAUAGUAGAUAUGAUCAACAUAGUGAUGUUCACCAUUGUAAACUACUCCAUCUCACGUGAUGAUUGGACAUGGUUUACUUGAUAUGGAUCACGUGAUCACUUAGAUGAUUAGAGGGAUGUCUAUCUAAGUGGGAGUUCUUAAGUAAUAUGAUUAAUUGAACUUUAAUUUAUCAUGAACUUAGUCCUGAUAGUAUUUGCAUAACUAUGUUGUAGAUCAAUAGCUCGCGAUGUAGCUCCCCAUUUAUUUUUUUAUAUGUUCCUAGAGAAAUAUAAGUAGAAAGAUGAUAGUAGCAAUGAUGCAGACUUGGUCCGUGAUAUGAGGAUUUUCCUCAUUGCUUCACAGAACAAUUAUGUCCUUGAUGCACUGCUAGGUGAUAGACCUAUUGCAUGAGUAGAUGCAGACGUUAUGAACGUUUUGACAAAAGCUCGGUAUGAUGACUACUUGAUAGUUUAGUGCACCAUGCUUUACGGCUUAGUACCGGGACUUCAAACAUGUUUUGAACGCCAUGGAGCAUAUGAGAUGUUCCAAGAGUUGAAAUUAGUAUUUCAGACUCAUGCCCGCGUCAAGAGGUAUGAGACCUCUGACAAGUACUUUGCCUACAAGAUGGAGGAGAAUAGCUCAACCAGUGAGCAUGUGCUCAGAUUGUCUGGGUACUACAAUUGCUUGAAUCAAGUGGGAGUUAAUCUUCCAGAUAAGAUAGUGAUACGUCUCCAACGUAUCUAUAAUUUUUGAUUGCUCCAUGCUAUAUUAUCUUCUGUUUUGGACAUUAUUGGGCUUUAUUAUACACUUUUAUAUUAUUUUUGGGACUAACUUAUUAACCGGAGGCCCAGCCCAGAAUUGUUGUUUUUUGCCUAUUUCAGAGUUUCGCAGAAAAAGAAUAUCAAACGGAGUCCAAACGGAAUGAAACCUUUGGGAACGUGAUUUUCGGAACGAACAUGAUCCAGAGGACUUGGACCCUACGUCAAGAAAGCUACCAGGAAGCCACGAGGUAGGGGGGCGCCUACCCCCCUCGGCGCGCCCUCCACCCUUGCGGGCCCCACGUUGCUCCACCGACGUACUCCUUCCUCCUAUAUAUACCUACGUACCCCCAAACUACCAGAUAUGGAGCCCAAAACCUAAUUCCACCGCCGCAACCUUCUGUACCCGUGAGAUCCCAUCUUGGGGCCUGUUCCAGAGCUCCGCUGGAGGGGCAUCGAUCACGGAGGACUUCUACAUCAACACCAUACCCUCUCCGAUGAUGUGUGAGUAGUUUACUUCAGACCUUCGGGUCCACAGUUAUUUGCUAGAUGGCUUCUUCUCUCUUUUUGGAUCUCAAUACAAUGUUCUCCCCCUCUCUCGUGAAGAUCUAUUCGAUGUAAUCUUAUUUUGCGGUGUGUUUGUUGAGACCGAUGAAUUGUGGGUUUAUGAUCAAUUUUAUCUAUGAACAAUAUUUGAAUCUUCUGAAUUCUUUUAUGUAUGAUUGGUUAUCUUUGCAAGUCUCUUCGAAUUAUCAGUUUGGUUUGGCCUACUAGAUUGAUCUUUCUUGCAAUGGGAGAAGUGCUUAGCUUUGGGUUCAAUCUCGCGGUGUCCUUUCCCAGUGACAGUAGGGGCAGCAAGGCACAUAUUGUAUUGUUGCCAUCGAGGAUAACAAGAUGGGGUUUACAUCAUAUUGCAUGAGUUUAUCCCUCUACAUCAUGUCAUCUUGCUUAAAGCGUUACUCUAUUCUUAUGAACUUCAUACUCUAGAUGCAUGCUGGAUAGCGGUCGAUGUGUGGAGUAAUAGUAGUAGAUGCAGGCAGGAGUCGGUCUACUUGUCUCGGACGUGAUGCCUAUAUACAUGAUCAUACCUAGAUAUUCUCAUAACUAUGCUCAAUUCUGUCAAUUGCUCAACAGUAAUUUGUUCACCCACCGUAAAUACUUAUGCUCUUGAGAGAAGCCACUAGUGAAACCUAUGGCCCCCGGGUCUAUUUUCCAUCAUAUUAAUUUUCCAACACUUAGUUAUUUUUAUUGCCUUUUAUUUUACUUUGCAUCUUUAUCACAAAAAUACCAAAAAUAUUAUCUUAUCAUAUCUAUCAGAUCUCACUCUCGUAAGUGACCGUGUAGGGAUUGACAACCCCUUAUCGCGUUGGUUGCGAGGAUUUAUUUGUUUGUGUAGGUGCGAGGGACUCGUGCGUGGCCUCCUACUGGAUUGAUACCUUGGUUCUCAAAAACUGAGGGAAAUACUUACGCUACUUUGCUGCAUCACCCUUUCCUCUUCAAGGGAAAACCAACGCAGUGCUCAAGAGGUAGCAAGAAGGAUUUCUGGCGCCGUUGUCGGGGACGCUUACGCGAAGUCAAGUCAAGAUUUGACUCCCGACAACGAGCCAUUUCUGGCGCCGUUGCCGGGGAGGUCUACGCAAAAGUCAACAUACCAAGUACCCAUCACAAACCCUUAUCUCCCGCAUUACAUUAUUUGCCAUUUGCCUCUCGUUUUCCUCUCCCCCACUUCACCCUUGCCGUUUUAUUCGCCCUCUCUUUUCCGUUUGCCUCUUUUUUACUCUUGUGUUGGAUUGCUUGUUUGUCACGAUGGCUCAAGAUAAUACCAAAUUAUGUGACUUUACCAAUACCAACAAUAAUGAUUUCUUUAGCACUCUGAUUGCUCCUCUUACCGAUACUGAAUCUUGUGAAAUCAAUGCUGCUUUGUUGAAUCUUGUCAUGAAAGAUCAAUUUGCCGGCCUUCCUAGUGAAGAUGCCGCUACUCAUCUAAAUAGCUUCGUUGAUUUGUGUGAUAUGUAAAAGAAGAAAGAUGUUGACAAUGAUAUUGUUAAAUUGAAGCUAUUUCCUUUUUCGCUUAGAGAUCGUGCUAAAGCUUGGUUUUCGUCUUUGCCUAAAAAUAGUAUUGAUUCUUAGAAUAAAUGCAAAGAUGCUUUUAUCUCUAAGUAUUUUCCUCCCGCUAAGAUUAUCUCUCUUAGAAACGAUAUUAUGAAUUUUAAGCAACUUGAUCAUGAACAUGUUGCACAAGCUUGGGAGAGGAUGAAAUUAAUGAUACGUAAUUGCCCCACACAUGGUUUGAAUUUGUGGAUGAUUAUACAAAAAAUUUAUACCGGAUUGAAUUUUGCUUCUAGAAAUCUGUUAGAUUCGGCCGCGGGAGGCACUUUUAUGGAAAUCACUUUAGGAGAAGCUACCAAACUCCUAGAUAAUAUUAUGGUUAAUUAUUCUCAAUGGCACACUGAAAGAUCUACUAAUAAAAAAGUGCAUGCGAUAGAAGAAAUUAACGUUUUGAGUGGAAAGAUGGAUGAACUUAUGAAAUUAUUUGCUACUAUGAGAGUGUUUCUUCUGAUCCUAAUGAUAUGCCUUUGUCUACUUUGAUUGAGAAUAAUAAUGAAUCUAUGACUGUGAAUUUUGUUGGUAGGAAUAAUUUUGGUAACAACGCGUAUAGAGGAAACUUUAAUCCUAGGCCGUAUCCUAGUAAUUCCUCUAAUAAUUAUGGUAAUUCCUACAACAAUUCUUAUGGAAAUUUUAAUAAGAUUCCCUCUGAAUUUGAAACUAGUGUUAAAGAAUUUAUGAAUUCACAAAAGAAUUUCAAUGCUUUGCUUGAAGAAAAAUUGCUUAAAGUUGAUGAAUUGGCUAGGAACGUUGAUAGAAUUUCUCUUGAUAUUGAUUCUUUAAAACUUAGAUCUUUUCCUCCUAAGCAUGAUAUCAAUGAGUCUCUCAAAGCCAUGCAAAUUUCCAUUGAUGAGUGCAAAGAAAGAACCGCUAGGAUGCGUGCUAAGAAAGAUUGCUUUGUGAAAGCGUGUUCUUCAAAUUUCUAUGAAAAUAAAGAUGAAAAUCUAAAGGUUAUUGAUGUGUCCCCUAUUAAAUCUUUGUUUUGCAAUAUGAAUCUUGAUAAUGAUGGGACUGAAUAUGAUCCACCUUUACCUAGAAGGCGUUCCAAAAAUUCGGAGUUUUUAGAUCUUGAUGCUAAAAUUGAUAAAAGUGGGAUUGAAGAAGUCAAAACUUUAGAUCUCAAUACACCCACUAUUUUGGAUUUCAAGGAAUUUAAUUAUGAUAAUUGCUCUUUGAUAGAUUGUAUUUCCUUGUUGCAAUCCGUGCUAAAUUCUCCUCAUGCGUAUAGUCAAAAUAAAACCUUUACCAAACAUAUCGUUGAUGCUUUGAUGCAAUCUUAUGAAGAAAAACUUGAGUUGGAAGUUUCUAUCCCUAGAAAACUUUAUGAUGAGUGGGAACCCACUAUUAAAAUUAAUAUUAAAGAUCAUGAAUGUUGUGCUUUGUGUGAUUUGGGUGCUAGUGUUUGCACGAUUCCAAAAACUUUGUGUGAUUUGCUAGGUUUCCGUGAUUUUGAUGGUUGCUCUUUAAAUUUGCACCUUGCGGAUUCCACCAUUAAGAAACCUAUGGGAAGAAUUAAUGAUGCUCUUAUUGUUGCAAAUAGGAACUAUGUGCCCGUAGAUUUUAUCGUUCUUGACAUAGAUUGCAAUCCUUCAUGUCCUAUUAUUCUUGGUAGACCUUUCCUUAGAACGAUUGGUGCAAUUAUUGAUAUGAAGGAAGGGAAUAUUAGAUUCCAAUUUCCAUUAAAGAAAGGCAUGGAACACUUACCUAGGAAGAAAAUAAAACUACCAUAUGAAUCUAUUAUGAGAGCCACUUAUGGAUUGCCUACCAAAGAUGGCAAUACCUAGAUCUAUCCUUGCUUCUAUGCCUAGCUAGGGGCGUUAAACGAUAGCGCUUGUUGGGAGGCAACCCAAUUUUAUUUUUUGCUUUUUGCUUUUUGCUUCUGUUUAGGAAUAAAUAUUGUUCUAGCCUCUGGUUAGAUGUGUUUUUAUGUUUUAAUUAGUGUUUGUGGCAAGUUAAACAUAUAGGAUCUUCUUGGAUGAUAGUUAUUUGAUCUUGCUGAAAAUUCCAGAAACUUUCUGGUCAAAAAAGAAUUCCAGAAACUUUCUGUUCACGAAAAUAAUUGUUAAAAAUCACCAGAACGUGAUAAAAUAUUGAUUCCAACUGCUGCUGAUCAAUAAACAAAUUUUCUAGGUCGUCCUAAUUUGGCUGUUGUUUUGGAGUUCCAGAAGUUUGCGUUAGUUACAGAUUACUACAGACUGUUCUGUUUUUGACAGAUUCUGUUUUUCGUGUGUUGUUUUGUCUUAUUUGAUGAAUCUAUGGCUAGUAAAAUAGUUUAUAAACCAUAGAGAAGUUGGAAUACAGUAGGUUUAACACCAAUAUAAAUAAAGAAUGAUUUCAUUACAGUACCUUGAAGUGUUCUUUUGUUUUCUUUCGCUAACGGAGCUCACGAGAUUUUCUGCUGAGUUUUGUGUUGUGAAGUUUUCAAGUUUUGGGUAAAAGAUUUGAUGUAUUAUGGAACAAGGAGUGGCAAUAGCCUAAGCUUGGGGAUGCCCAUGGCACCCCCAAGAUAAUCUAAGGACACCUAAAAGCCAAAGCUUGGGGAUGCCCCGGAAGGCAUCCCCUCUUUCGUCUACUUCCAUCGGUAACUUUACUUGGAGCUAUAUUUUUAUUCACCACAUGAUAUGUGUUUUGCUUGGAGCGUCUUGUAUUAUUUGAGUCUUUAUUUUUUUUAGUUUACCACAAUCAUCUUUGCAGUACACACCUUUUGAGAGAGACACACAUGAUUCGGAAAUUAUUAGAAUACUCUAUGUGCUUCACUUAUAUCUUUUGAGUUAUAUAGUUUUUGCUCUAGUACUUCACUUAUAUCUUUUAGAGCACGGUGGUGGAUUUGUUUUAUAGAAACUAUUGAUCUCUCAUGCUUCACUUAGAUUAUUUUGAGAGUCUUAAAUAGCAUGGUAAUUUGCUUAAAUAAUCCUAAUAUGCUAGGUAUUCAAGAUUAGUAAAAACUUUCGCAUGAGUGUUUUGAAUACUAAGAGAAGUUUGAUGCUUGAUGAUUGUUUUGAGAUAUGGAGGUAGUGAUAUUAAAGUUGUGCUAGUUGAGUAAUUGUGAAUUUGAGAAAUACUUGUGUUGAAGUUUGCAAGUCCCGUAGCAUGCACGUAUGGUAAACGUUAUGUAACAAAUUUGAAACAUGAGGUGUUCUUUGAUUGUCCUCCUUAUGAGUGGCGGUCGGGGACGAGCGAUGGUCUUUUCCUACUAAUCUACCCCCCUAGGAGCAUGCGCGUAGUGCUUGGUUUCUUAUGACUUGUAGAUUUUUGCAAUAAGUAUGUGAGUUCUUUAUGACUAAUGUUGAGUCCAUGGAUUAUACGCACUCUCACCUUUCCAUCAUUGCUAGCCUCUUCGGUACCAUGCAUUGCCCUUUCUCACAUUGAGAGUUGGUGCAAACUUCGCCGGUGCAUCCAAACCCCGUGAUAUGAUACGCUCUUUCACACAUAAACCUCCUUAUAUAUUCCUCAAAACAGCCACCAUACCUACCUAUUAUGGCAUUUCCAUAGCCAUUCCAAGAUAUAUUGCCAUGCAACUUUCCACCGUUCCGUUUAUCAUGACACGUUCAUCAUUGUCAUAUUGCUUUGCAUGAUCAUGUAGUUGACAUAGUAUUUGUGGCAAAGCCGCCAUUCAUAAUUCUUUCAUACAUGUCACUCUUGGUUCAUUGCAUAUCCCGGUACACCGCCGGAGGCAUUCAUAUAGAGUCAUACUUUGUUCUAGUAUCGAGUUGUAAUCGUUGAGUUGUAAAUAAAUAGAAGUGUGAUGAUCAUCAUUUUCUAGAGCAUUGUCCCAAGUGAGGAAUAUAAAAAAAGAGAGAAAGGCCAUAAAAAAAGAGAAGGCCCAAAAAAAUGAGAGAAAAAGAGAGAAGGGACAAUGUUACUAUCCUUUUACCACACUUGUGCUUCAAAGUAGCACCAUAAUCUUCAUGAUAGAGAGUCUUAUUUUGUCAUUUUCACAUACUAGUGGGAAUUUUUCAUUAUAGAACUUGGCAUGUAUAUUCCAACAAUGGGCCUCCUCAAGUGCCCUAGGUCUUCAUGAGCAAGCAAGUUGGAUGCACACCCACUUAGUUUCUUUUGUUGAGCUUUCAUAUAUUUAUAGCUCUAGUGCAUCCGUUGCAUGGCAAUCCCUACUCCUUGCAUUAACACCAAUCGAUGGGCAUCUCCAUAGCUCAUUGAUUAGCAUCGUUGAUGUGAGACUUUCUCCCUUUUUGUCUUCUCCACAUAACCCCCAUCAUCAUAUUCUAUUCCACCCAUAGUGCUAUAUCCAUGGCUCACGCUCAUGUAUUGCGUGAAGGUUGAAAAAGCUUGAGAUUACUAAAGUAUGAAACAAUUGUUUGGCUUGUCAUCGGGGUUGUGCAUGAUGAGAGCAUUCUUGUGUGACGAAAAUGGAGCAUGACUAAACUAUAUGAUUUUGUAGGGAUGAACUUUCUUUGGCCAUGUUAUUUGAGAGGACAUAAUUGCUUAGUUAGUAUGCUUGAAGUAUUAUUAUUUUAAUGUCAAUAUUGAACUUUUAUCUUGAAUCUUUCGGAUCUGAAUAUUCAUACCACAAUUAAGAAGAAUUACAUUGAAAUUAUGCCAAGUAGCAUUCCACACCAAAAAUUCUGUUUUUAUCAUUUACCUACUCGAGGACGAGCAAGAAUUAAGCUUGGGGAUGUUUGAUACGUCUCCAACAUAUCUAUAAUUUUUUAUUGCUCCAUGCUAUAUUAUCUUCUGUUUUGGACAUUAUUGGGCUUUAUUAUACACUUUUAUAUUAUUUUUGGGACUAACCUAUUAACCGGAGGCCCAGCCCAGAAUUGCUGUUUUUUGCCUAUUUCAGAGUUUCGCAGAAAAAGAAUAUCAAACGGAGUCCAAACAGAAUGAAACCUUCGGGAACGUGAUUUUCGGAACAAACAUGAUCCAGAGGACUUGGACCCUACGUCAAGAAAGCUACCAGGAAGCCACGAGGUAGGGGCGCGCCUACCCCCCUGGGCGCGCCCUCCACCCUUGUGGGCCCCACGUUGCUCCACUGACGUACUCCUUCCUCCUAUAUAUACCUACGUACCCCCAAACUACCAGAUACGGAGCCAAAAACCUAAUUCCACCGCCGCAACCUUCUGUACCCAUGAGAUCCCAUCUUGGGGCCUGUUCCGGAGCUCCGCCGGAGGGGGCAUCGAUCACGGAGGGCUUCUACAUCAACACCAUAGCCUCUCCGAUGAUGUGUGAGUAGUUUACUUCAGACCUUCGGGUCCACAGUUAUUAGCUAGAUGGCUUCUUCUCUCUUUUUGGAUCUCAAUACAAUGUUCUCCCCCUCUCUCGUGGAGAUCUAUUCGAUGUAAUCUUCUAUUGCGGUGUGUUUGUUGAGACCGCUGAAUUGUGGGUUUAUGAUCAAGUUUCUCUAUGAACAAUAUUAGAAUCUUCUAAAUUCUUUUAUGUAUGAUUGGUUAUCUUUGCAAGUCUCUUCGAAUUAUCAGUUUGGUUUGGCCUACUAGAUUGAUCUUUCUUGCAAUGGGAGAAGUGCUUAGCUUUGGGUUCAAUCUUGCGGUGUCCUUUCCCAGUGACAGUAGGGGCAGCAAGGCACGUAUUGUAUUGUUGCCAUCGAGGAUAACAAGAUGGGGUUUACAUCAUAUUGCAUGAGUUUAUCCCUCUACAUCAUGUCAUCUUGCUUAAAGCGUUAGUCUGUUCUUAUGAACUUAAUACUCUAGAUGCAUGCUGGAUAGCGGUCGAUGUGUGGAGUAAUAGUAGUAGAUGCAGGCAGGAGUCGGUCUACUUGUCUCGGACGUGAUGCCUAUAUACAUGAUCAUACCUAGAUAUUCUCAUAACUAUGCUCAAUUCUGUCAAUUGCUCAACAGUAAUUUGUUCACCCACCGUAAAUACUUAUGCUCUUGAGAGAAGCCACUAGUGAAACCUAUGGCCCCCGGGUCUAUUUUCCAUCAUAUUAAUUUUCCAACACUUAGUUAUUUUUAUUGCCUUUUAUUUUACUUUGCAUCUUUAUCACAAAAAUACCAAAAAUAUUAUCUUAUCGUAUCUAUCAGAUCUCACUCUCGUAAGUGACCGUGUAGGGAUUGACAACCCCUUAUCGCGUUGGUUGCGAGGAUUUAUUUGUUUGUGUAGGUGCGAGGGACUCGUGCGUGGCCUCCUACUGGAUUGAUACCUUGGUUCUCAAAAACUGAGGGAAAUACUUACGCUACUUUGCUGCAUCACCCUUUCCUCUUCAAGGGAAAACCAACGCAGUGCUCAAGAGGUAGCAGAUAGUAAUUGACAAAGUUCUCUAGUCACUAUCACCAAGUUACUAGAACUUCGUGAUGAACUAUAAUAUGCAAGGGAUGACGAAAGUAAUUCCCGAGCUCUUCGCGAUGCUGAAAUCGGUGAAGGUAGAAAUCAAGAAAGAGCAUCAAGUGUUGAUGGUUAACAAGACCAAUAGUUUCAAGAAAGGGGCAAAGGGAUAGAAAGGGAACUUCAAUAAGAAUGACAAGCAAGUUGUCACUCCCAUGAAGAAGCCCAAAGAUAGACCCAAGCCUGAAACUUUGUGCUUCUACUGCAAAGGAAAUGGUCACUGGAAGUGGAACUGCCCUAGAUACUUGGUGGAUAAGAAGGAUGGCAAAGUAAAAAAGGUAUAUUGGAUAUACAUGUUAUUGAUGUAUACUUUACUAGUGUUUAUAGCAACCCCUUGGUAUUUGAUAGUGGUUCAGUUGCUAAGAGUAGUAACUCAAAGCGGGAGUUGCAAAAUAAAUAGAGACUAGUUAAGGGCGAGGUGAUGAUGUGUGUUGGAAGUGAUUCCAAGGUUGAUAAGAUCACCAUCGCACACUCCCUAUACUUUCGGGAUUAGUGUUGAACCAAAAUAAAUGUUAUUUGGCGUUUGCGUUGAGCAUGAAUAUGAUUUGAUCAUGUUUAUUGCAAUACGGUUAUUCAUUUAAGUCCGAGAAUAAUUGUUGUUCUGUUUACAUGAAUAAAACCUUCGAUGGUCAUACACCCAAUGAAAAUAGUUUGUUGGAUCUCGAUCGUAGUGAUACACAUAUUCAUAAUAUUGAAGCCAAAAGAUGCAAAGUUAAUAAUGAUAGUGCAACUUAUUUGUGGCACUGCCGUUUAGGUCAUAUUGGUGUAAAGCGCAUGAAGAAACUCCAUGCUGAUGGACUUUUGGAAUCACUUGAUUAUGAAUCACUUGCUUGCGAACCAUGCCUCAUGGGAAAGAUGACUAAAACUCCGUGCUCCGGAACAAUAGAGCGAGCAACUGACUUAUUGGAAAUAAUACAUACUGAUGUAUGCGAUCCGAUAAGUGUUGAGGCUCACGGCGGGUAUCGUUAUUUUCUAACCAUCACAAAUGAUUUGAGCAGAUAUGGGUAUAUCUACUUGAUGAAACAUAAGUCUGAAACAUUUGAAAAGUUCAAAGAAUUUCAGAGUGAAGUGGCAAACCAUCGUAACAAGAAAAUAAAGUUUCUACGAUCUGAUCGUGGAGGAGAAUAUUUUAGUUACGAGUUUGGUCUUCAUUUGAAACAAUGUGAAAUAGUUUCGCAACUCACGCCACCUGGAACACCACAGCGUAAUGGUGUGUACGAACGUCGUAACCGCACUUUAUUAGAUAUGGUGUGACUAUGAUGUCUCUGUUGGGGAACGUAAUAAUUUCAAAAAAAAUCCUACGCACACCCAAGAUCAUGGUGAUGCAUAGCAACGAGAGGGGACAGUGUGUCCACGUACCCUCGUAGACCGAAAGCGGAAGCGUUAUGACAACGCGGUUGAUGUAGUCGUACGUCUUCACGAUCCGACCGAUCCAAGUACCGAACGUACGGCACCUCCGAGUUCUGCACACGUUCAGCUCGAUGACGUCCCACGAACUCCGAUCCAGCAGAGCUUUGCGGGAGAGUUCCGUCAGCACGACAGCGCCAUGACGGUGAUGAUGAUGCUACCGACGCAGGGCUUCGCCUAAGCACCACUACGAUAUGACCGAGGUGGAUUAUGAUGGAGGGGGGCACCGCACACGGCUAAGAGAUCAAUGAUCAAUUGUUGUGUCUAGAGGUGCCCCCCUGCCCCCGUAUAUAAAGGAUGGAAGAGGGGAGGCCGGCCAGCCCCUAGGGCGCGCCAGAAGAGUGGAGUCCUACUAGGACUCCCUAGUCCUAGUAGGAUUCCUCCUCCCACAUGGAAUAGGAAAAAGGGAAGGGAAAAGGAGAAGGAAGGAAGGGGGCGCCCCCCUUCCCUAGUCCAAUUCGGACCAGACCAUGGGGAGGGGUGCGGCCACCAUUUGAGGCCUUUCUCUCCUUUCCUGUAUGGCCCAUUAAGCCCAAUACGAAUUCCCGUAACUCUCCGGUACUCCGAAAAAUACCCGAAUCACUCGGAACCUUUCCGAUGUCCGAAUAUAGUCGUCCAAUAUAUCGAUCAUUAUGUCUCGACCAUUUCGAGACUCCUCGUCAUGUCCCCGAUCUCAUCCGGGAUUCCGAACUACCUUCGGUACAUCAAAUCACAGCACUCAUAAUACAAAUCGUCGCCGAACGUUAAGCGUGUGGACCCUACGGGUUCGAGAACUAUGUAGACAUGACCGAGACACAUCUCCGGUCAAUAACCAAUAGCGGAACCUCGAUGCUCAUAUUGGCUCCUACAUAUUCUACAAAGAUCUUUAUCGAUCAAACCGCAUAACAACAUACGUGGUUCCCUUUGUCAUCGGUAUGUUACUUGCCCGAGAUUUGAUCGUCGGUAUCUCAAUACCUAGUUCAAUCUCAUUACCGACAAUUCUCUUUACUCGUUCCGUAAUGCAUCAUCCCGCAACUAACUCAUUAGUCACAUUGCUUACAAGGCUUAUAGUGAUGUGCAUUACCGAGAGGGCCCAGAGAUACCUCUUCGACAAUCGGAGUGACAAAUCCUAAUCUCGAAAUACGCCAACUCAACAAGUACCUUCGGAGACACCUGUAGAGCACCUUUAUAAUCACCCAGUUACGUUGUGACGUUUGGUAGCACACAAAGUGUUCCUCCGGUAAACGGGAGUUGCAUAAUCUCAUAGUCAUAGGAACAUGUAUAAGUCAUGAAGAAAGCAAUGGCAACAUACUAAACGAUCAAGUGCUAAGCUAGCGGAAUGGGUCAAGUCAAUCACAUCAUUCUCCUAAUGAUGUGAUCCCGUUAAUCAAAUGACAACUCAUGUCUAUGGCUAGGAAUCUCAACCAUCUUUGAUCAACGAGCUAGUCAAGUAGAGGCAUACUAGUGACACUAUGUUUGUCUAUGUAUUCACAUAUGUAUCAAGUUUCCGGUUAAUACAAUUCUAGCAUGAAUAAUAAACAUUUAUCAUGAAAUAAGGAAAUAAAUAAUAACUUUAUUAUUGCCUCUAGAGCAUAUUUCCUUCAGUCUCCCACUUGCACUAGAGUCGAUAAUCUAGUUCACAUCGCCAUGUGAUUUAACACCAAUAGUUCACAUCACCAUGUGAUUAACACCCAUAGUUCACAUCGUCAUGUGACCAACACUCAAAGGGUUUACUAGAGUCAAUAAUCUAGUUCACAUUGCUAUGUGAUUAACACCCAAAGAGUACUUAGGUGUGAUCAUGUUUUGCUUGUGAGAGAAGUUUAGUCAACGGGUCUGCCACAUUCAGAUCCGUAUGUAUUUUGCAAAUUUCUAUGUCAACAAUGCUAUGCACGGAGCUACUCUAGCUAAUUGCUCCCACUUCUAAUAUGUAUCCAGAUUGAGACUUAGAAUCAUCUGGAUCAGUGUCAAAACUUGCAUCGACGUAACCCUUUACGACAAACCUUUUGUCACCUCCAUAAUCGAGAAACAUAUCCUUAUUCCACUAAGGAUAAUUUUGACCAACGUCCAGUGAUCUAUUCUUAGAUCACUAUUGUACUCCUUGCCAAACUCAGGGCAGGGUAUACAAUAGGUCUGGUACAUAGCAUGGCAUACUUUAUAGAACCUAUGGCUGAGGCAUAGGGAAUGACUUUCAUUCUCUUUCUAUCUUCUGCCGUGGUCGGGUUUUGAGUCUUACUCAAUUUCACACCUUGUAAUACACGCUAGAACUCGUUCUUUGACUGUUCCAUUUUGAACUACUUCAAAAGCUUGUCAAGGUAUGUAAUCAUUGAAAAACCUUAUCAAGCGUUUUGAUCUAUCUAUAUAGAUCUUGAUGCUCAAUAUGUAAGCAGCUUCACCGAGGUCUUUAUUUGAAAAACUCCUUUCAAAAACUCCUUUAUGCUUUCCAAAAAAUUCUACAUUAUUUCCGAUUAACAAUAUGGCAUUCACAUAUACUUAUCAGAAAUGCUGUAGUGCUCCCACUCACUUUCUUGUAAAUACAGGCUUCACCGCAAGUCUGUAUAAAACUAUAUGCUUUGGUCAACUCAUCAAAGCGUAUAAUCCAACUCUGAGAUGCUUGCACCAGUCCAUAGAUGGAUCGCUGGAGCUUGCACAUUUUGUCAACACCUUUAGGAUCGACAAAACCUUCUGGUUGCAUCAUAUACAACUCUUUUUUAAUAAAUCCAUUAAGGAAUGCAGUUUUUUUGUCCAUUUGCCAGAUUUCAUAAAAUGCGGCAAUUGCUAACAUGAUUCGGACAGACUUAAGCAUAGAUACGAGUGAGAAACUCUCAUCGUAGUCAACACCUUUGAACUUGUCGAAAACCUUUUGCGACAAUUCUAGCUUUGCAGAUAGUAACACUACUAUCAACGUUUGUCUUCCUCUUGAAGAUCCAUUUAUUUUCUAUGGCUUGCCGAUCAUUGGGCAAGUCAAUCAAAGCCACACUUUGUUCUCAUACAUGGAUCCCAUCUCAGAUUUCAUGGCCUCAAGCCAUUUCGCGGAAUCUGGGCUCAUCAUCGCUUCCUCAUAGUUCGUAGGUUCGUCAUGGUCAAGUAACAUGACCUCCAGAAUAGGAUUACCGUACCACUCAGGUGCGGAUCUCACUCUGGUUGACCUACGAGGUUCGGUAGUAACUUGAUCUGAAGUUACAUGAUCAUCAUCAUUAGCUUCCUCAUUAAUUGGUGUAGGAGUCACAGGAACAAAGUUCUGUGAUGAACUACUUUCCAAUAAGGGAGCAGGUACAGUUACCUCAUCAAGUUCUACUUUCCUCCCACUCACUUCUUUCGAGAGAAACUCCUUCUUUAGAAAGGAUCCAUUCUUAGCAACGAAUGUCUUGCCUUCGGAUCUGUAAUAGAAGGUGUACCCAACUGUCUCCUUUGGGUAUCCUAUGAAGACACAUUUCUCUGAUUUAGGUUUGAGCUUAUCAGGAUGAAACUUUUUCACAUAAGCACCGCAACCCCAAACUUUAAAUAACGACAACUUUGGUUUCUUGCCAAACCACAGUUCGUAUGUUGUCGUCUCAACGGAUUUAGAUGGUGCCCUAUUUAACGUGAAUGCAGCUGUCUCUAAUGCAUAACCCCAAAACGAUAGUGGUAAAUCGGUAAGAGACAUCAUAAAUUGCACCAUAUCUAAUAAAGUACGGUUAUGACGUUCGGACACACCAUUACACUGUGGUGUUCCAGGUGGCGUGAGUAGUGAAACUAUUUCACAUUGUUUUAACUAAAGGCCAAACUUGUAACUCAAAUAUUCUCCUCCACGAUCAGAUCGUAGAAACUUUAUUUUCUUGUUACGAUGAUUUUCCACUUCACUCUGAAAUUUUUGAACUUUUCAAAUGUUUCAGACUUAUGUUUCAUUAAGUAGAUAUACCCAUAUCUGCUCAAAUCAUCUGUGAAGGUUAGAAAAUAACGAUACCCGCCGCGAGCCUCAACACUCAUCGGAUCGCAUACAUCAGUAUGUAUUAUUUCCAAUAAGUCAGUUGCUCGCUCCAUUGUUCCAGAGAACGGAGUCUUAGUCAUCUUGCCCAUAAGGCAUGGUUCGCAAGCAUCAAGUGAUUCUUAAUCAAGUGAUUCCAAAAUCCCAUCAGCAUGGAGUUUCUUCAUGUGCUUUACACCAAUAUGACCUAAACGGCAGUGCCACAAAUAAGGUGCAUUAUCAUUAUUAACUUUGCAUCUUUUGGCUUUAAUAUUAUGAAUGUGUGUAUCACUACGAUCGAGAUCCAACAAACCAUUUUCAUUGGGUGUAUGACCAUAGAAGGUUUUAUUCAUGUAAACAGAACAACAAUUAUUCUCUAACUUAAAUGAAUAACCGUAUUGCAAUAAACAUGAUCAAAUCAUAUUCAUGCUCAACGCAAACACCAAAUAACACUUAUUUAGGUUCAACACUAAUCCCGAAAGUAUAGGGAGUGUGCGAUGAUGAUCAUAUCAAUCUUGGAACCACUUCCAACACACAUCGUCACUUCACCUUUAACUAGUCUCUGUUCAUUCUGCAACUCCCGUUUUGAGUUACUACUUUUAGCAACUGAACCAGUAUCAAAUACCGAGGGGUUGCUAUAAACACUAGUAAAGUACACAUCAAUAACAUGUAUAUCAAAUAUACUUAUGUUCACUUUGCCAUCCUUCUUAUCCGCCAAUUACUUGGGGUAGUUCCGCUUCCAUUGACCAGUCCCUUUGCAGUAGAUGCACUUAGUCUCAGGCUUAGGUCAGAACUUGGGCUUCUUCACUCCAGCAGCAACUUGCUUGUCGUUCUUCUUGAAGUUCCCCUUCUUCCUUUGUCCCUUUUCUUGAAACUAUUGGUCUUGUUAAUCAUCAACACUUGAUGCUCUUUCUUGAUUUCUACCUUCAUCGAUUUCAUCAUCAUGAAAAGCUCGGGAAUCGUUUUCGUCAUCCCUUGCAUAAUAUAGUUCAUCACGAAGUUCUACUAACUUGGUGAUGGUGACUAGAGAAUUCUGUCAAUCACUAUUUUAUCUGGAAGAUUAACUCCCACUUGAUUCAAGCGAUUGUAGUACCCAGACAAUCUGAGCACAUGCUCACUGAUUGAACUAUUCUCCUCCAUCUUUUAGCUAUAGAACUUGUUGGAGACUUCAUACCUCUCAACUCGGGUAUUUGCUUCAAAUAUUAACUUCAACUCCUGAAACAUCUCAUAUGGUCCAUGAUGUUCAAAACAUCUUUGAAGUCCCGAUUAUAAGCCGUUAAGCAUGGUGCACUAAACUAUCAAGUAGUCAUCAUAUUGAGCUAGCCAAACGUUCAUAACGUCUGCAUCUGCUCCUGCAAUAGGUCUGUCACCUAGCGGUGCAUCAAUGACAUAAUUCUUCUGUGCAGCAAUGAGGAUAAUCCUCAGAUCACGGAUCCAAUCCGCAUCAUUGCUACUAACAUUUUUCAACAUAGUUUUUCUCUAGGAACACAAUAAACGGGGAGCAACAUCGCAAGCUAUUGAUCUACAACACAGAUAUGCUAAUACUACCAGGACUAAGUUCAUGAUAAAUUAAAGUUCAAUUAAUCAUAUUACUUAAGAACUCCCAGUUAGAUAGACAUCCCUCUAAUCAUCUAAGUGAUCACGUGAUCCAAAUCAACUAAACCAUGUCCGAUCAUCACGUGAGAUGGAGUAGUUUUCAAUGGUCAACGUCACUAUGUUGAUCAUAUCCUCUAUAUGAUUCACGCUCGACCUUUCGGUCUCAGUGUUCCGAGGCCAUAUCUUCAUAUGCUAGGCUCGUCAAGUUUAACCUGAGUAUUCCGCGUGUGCAAAACUGUCUUGCACCCGUUGUAUUUGAACGUAGAGCUUAUCACACCCAAUCAUUACGUGGUGUCUCAGCAUGAAGAACUUUCACAACGGUGCAUACUCAGGGAGAACACUUAUACCUUGAAAUUUAGUGAGAGAUCAUCUUAUAAAGCUACCGCCGAACUAAGCAAAAUAAGAUGGAUAAAAAACAUCACAUGCAAUCAUAAUAUGUGACAUGAUAUGGCCAUCAUCAUCUUGUGCCUUUGAUCUCCAUCUCCAAAGCAUCGUCAUGAUCUCCAUUGUCACCGGCAUGACACCAUGAUCUCCAUCAUCUUGAUCUAUAUCAAUGUGUCGUCACAUGGUCGUCUCGCCAACUAUUGCUAUCGCAUAGCGAUAAAGUAAAGAAAUUAUUUGGCGCUUGCAUCUUAUGCAAUAGAGAGACAACCAUAAGGCUUUUGCCAGUUGCUGAUAACUUCAACAAAACAUGAUCAUCUCAUACAACUUAUAUCUCAUCACGUCUUGACCAUAUCACAUCACAACAUGCCCUACAAAAACAAGUUAGAUGUCUUCUACUUUGUUGUUGCAAGUUUUAUGUGGCUGCUACGGGCUGAGCAAGAACCAUUCUUACCUACGCAUCAAAACCACAACGAUAGUUCGUCAAGUUAGUGUUGUUUUAACAUUCUCAAGGACCGGGCAUAGCCACACUCCGUUCAACUAAAGUUGGAGAAACUGACACCCGCCAGCCACCUGUGUGCAAAGCACGUCGGUAGAAUCAGUCUCGCGUAAGCGUACGCGUAAUGUCGGUCCGGGCCGCUUCAUCCAACAAUACCGCCGAACCAAAGUAUGACAUGCUGGUAAGCAGUAUGACUUGUAUCGCCCACAACUCACUUGUGUUCUACUCGUGCAUAUAACAUCUACGCAUAAACCUGGCUCGGAUGCCACUGUUGGGGAACGUAGUAAUUUCAAAAAAAAAUCCUACGCACACGCAAGAUCAUGGUGAUGCAUAGCAACGAGAGGGGAGAGUGUGUCCACGUACCCUCGUAGACCGAAAGCGGAAGCAUUAUGACAACGCGGUUGAUGUAGUCGUACGUCUUCACGAUCCGACCGAUCCAAGUACCGAACGUACGGCACCUCCGAGUUCUGCACACGUUCAGCUCGAUGAUGUCCCACGAACUCCGAUCCAGGAGAGCUUUGCGGGAGAGUUCCGUUAGCAAGACGGCGUGAUGACAGUGAUGAUGAUGCUACCGACGCAGGGCUUCGCCUAAGCACCGCUACGAUAUGACCGAGGUGGAUUAUGGUGGAGGGGGGCACCGCACACGACUAAGAGAUCAAUGAUCAAUUGUUGUGUCUAGAGGUGCCCCCUGCCCCCGUAUAUAAAGGAUGGAGGAGGGGAGGCCGGCCAGCCCCUAGGGCACGCCAGAAGUGUGGAGUCCUACUAGGACUUCCUAGUCCUAGUAGGAUUCCUCCUCCCACAUGGAAUGGGAAAAAGGGAAGGGAAAGGAGAAGGAAGGAAGGGGGCGCCCCCCUUCCCUAGUCCAAUUCGGACCAGACCAUGGGGAGGGGUGCGGCCACCUUUUGAGGCCUUUAUCUCCUUUCCUGUAUGGCCCAUUAAGGCCCAAUACGAAUUCCCGUAACUCUCCGGUACUCCGAAAAAUACCCGAAUCACUCGGAACCUUUUCGAUGUCCGAAUAUAGUCGUCCAAUAUAUCGAUCUUUAUGUCCCGACCAUUUCGAGACUCCUCGUCAUGUCCCCGAUCUCAUCCGGGACUCCGAACUACCUUCGGUACAUAAAAUCACAUAACUCAUAAUACAAAUCGUCACCGAACGUUAAGCGUGCGGACCCUACGGGUUCGAGAACUAUGUAGACAUGACCGAGACACAUCUCCGGUCAAUAACCAAUAGCAGAACCUGGAUGCUCAUACUGGCUCCUACAUAUUCUAUGAAGAUCUUUAUCGGUCAAACCGCAUAACAACAUACGUUGUUCCCUUUGUCGUAGGUAUGUUACUUUCCCGAGAUUGGAUCAUCGGUAUCUCAAUACCUAGUUAAAUCUCGUUACCGGCAAGUCUCUUUACUCGUUCCGUAAUGCAUCAUCCCGCAACUAACUCAUUAGUUACAUUGCUUGCAAGGCUUAUAGUGAUGUGCAUUACUGAGAGGGCCCAGAGAUACCUCUCCGACAAUCGGAGUGACAAAUCCUAAUCUCGAAAUACGCCAACUCAACAAGUACCUUCGGAGACACCUGUAGAGCACCUUUAUAAUCACCCAGUUACGUUGUGACGUUUGGUAGCACACAAAGUUUUCCUCCGGUAAACGGGAGUUGCAUAAUCUCAUAGUCAUAGGAACAUGUAUAAGUCAUGAAGAAAGCAAUAGCCACAUACUAAACGAUCAAGUGCUAAGCUAACGGAAUGGGUCAAGUCAAUCACAUCAUUCUCCUAAUAAUGUGAUCCCGUUAAUCAAAUGACAACUCAUGUCUAUGGCUAGGAAACUCAACCAUCUUUGAUCAACGAGCUAGUCAAGUAGAGGCAUACUAGUGACACUAUGUUUGUCUAUGUAUUCACACAUGUAUCAAGUUUCCGGUUAAUACAAUUCUAGCAUGAAUAAUAAACAUUUAUCAUGAAAUAAGGAAAUAAAUAAUAACUUUAUUAUUGCCUCUAGGGCAUAUUUCCUUCAGUCUCUUACCGAUUUACCAUAAUCAUUUCGGGGUUAUGCAUUAGAGACAGUUGCAUUCACGUUAAAUAGGGCACCAUCUAAAUCCGUUGAGACGACGCCAUAUGAACUGUUGUUUGGCAAGAAACCAAAGUUGUCGUUUCUUAAAGUUUGGGGCUGCGAUACUUAUGUGAAAAAGAUUCAACCUGAUAAGCUCGAACCCAAAUCGGAGAAAUGUGUCUUUAUAGGAUACCCAAAGGAGACUAUUGGGUCCACCUUCUAUCACAGAUACAAAGGCCAGAUAUUCGUUGCUAAGAAUGGAUCCUUUCUAGAGAAGGAGUUUCUCUCGAAAGAAGUGAGUGGGAGGAAAGUAGAACUUGAUAAGGUAAUUGUACCUUCUCCCGAAUUGGAAAGUAGUUCAUCACAGAAAUCAGUUCCAGUGAUGCCUACACCGAUUAGUGAGGAAGUUAAUGAUGAUGAUCAUGAAACUUCAGAUCAAGUCACUACUGAACCUCGUAGGUCAACCAGAAUACGUUCCGCACCAAAGUGGUACGGUAAUCCUGUUCUGGAAAUCAUGUUACUAGACCAUGACAAACCUACGAACUAUGAGGAAGCGAUGAUGAGCCCAAAUUUUGCAAAAUGGCUUGAGGCCAUGAAAUCUGAGAUGGGAUCCAUGUAUGAGAACAAAGUAUGGACUUUGGUUGACUUGCCCGAUGAUCGGCAAGUAAUAGAAAAUAAAUGGAUCUUCAAGAGGAAGAUGCACGCUGAUAGUAGUGUUACUAUCUACAAAGCUAGACUUGUCGAAAAAAGGUUUUUGACAAGUUCAAGGUGUUGACUACGAUGAGAUUUUCUCACUCGUAGUGAUGCUUAAGUCUGUCCGAAUCAUGUUAGCUAUUGCCACAUUUUAUGAAAUCUGGCAAAUGGAUGUCAAAACUACAUUCCUUAAUGGAUUUCUUAAAGAAGAGUUGUAUAUGAUCCAACCAAAAAGGUUUUGUCAAUCCUAAAGGUGCUAACAAAAUGUGCAAGCUCCAGCGAUCCAUCUAUGGACUGGUGCAAGCAUCUCGGAGUUGGAAUAUACGCUUUGAUGAAUUGAUCAAAGCAUAUAGUUUUGUGCAGACUUGCGGUGAAGCCUGUAUUUACAAGAAAGUGAGUGGGAGCGCUACAGCUUUUCUGAUAAGUAUACGUGAAUGACAUAUUGUUGAUCGAAAAUGAUGUAGAAUUUUCUGGAAAGCAUAAAGGAGUUUUUCAAAGAAAGACCUCGGUGAAGCUGCUUACAUAUUGAGCAUCAAGAUCUAUAGAGAUAGAUCAAGACGCUUGAUAAGUUUUUUCAAUAAGCACAUACCUUGACAAGUUUUUGAAGUAGUUCAAAAUGGAACAGUCAAAGAAAGAGUUCUUGCCUGUGUUGCAAGGUGUGAAGUUGAGUAAGACUCAAAGCCCGACCACGGCAGAAGAUAGAGAGAGAAUGAAAGUCAUUCCCUAUGCCCCAGCCAUAGGUUCUACAAAGUAUGCCAUGUUGUGUACCAGACCUAUUGUAUACCCUGCCCUGAGUUUGGCAAGGGAGUACAAUAGUGAUCUAGGAGUAGAUCACUGGACAUUGGUCAAAAAUUAUCCUUAGAGGACUAAGGAAAUAUUUCUCGGUUAUGGAGGUGAUAAAGAGUUCGUCGUAAAGAGUUAAGUCGAUGCAAGCUUUGACACCGAUCUGGAUCUCUGAGUCUCGAUCUAGAUACAUAUUGAAAGUGGGAGUAUAUAGCUAGAGUAUCUCCAUGCAGAGUAUUGUAGACAUAGAAAUUUGCAAAAUACAUACGGAUCUGAAUGUUGCAGACCCGUCGACUAAAAAAUUUCUCUCACAAGCAAAACAUGAUCAUACCUUAGUGCUCUUGGGUAUUAUCCACAUAGCAAUGUGAACUAGAUUAUUGACUCUAGUAAACCUUUAAGUGUUGGUCACAUGGCGAUGUGAACUAUGGGUGUUAAUCACAUGGUGAGUGAACUAUUGGUGUUAAAUCACGUAGCGAUGUGAACUAGAUUAUUGACUCUAGUGCACGUGGGAGACAGAAGGAAAUAUGCCCUAGAGGCAAUAAUAAAGUUAUUAUUUAUUUCCUUACAUCAUGAUAAAUGUUUAUUAUUCAUGCUAGAAUUGUAUUAACCGGAAACUUGAUACAUGUGUGAAUACAUAGACAAAACAAAGUGUCCCUAGUAUGCCUCUACUAGACUAGCUCGUUAAUCAAAGAUGGUUAAGUUUCCUGACCAUAGACAUGUGUUGUCAUUUGAUGAACGGGAUCACAUCAUUAGGAGAAUGAUGUGAUGGACAAGACCCAUUCGUUAGCUUAGCACUAUGAUCGUUUAGUUUAUUGCUAUUGCUUUCUUCAUGACUUAUACAUGUUCCUCUGACUAUGAGAUUAUGCAACUCCCGAAUACCGGAGGAACACUUUGUGUGCUACCAAACGGCACAAUGUAACUGGGUGAUUAUAAAGGUGCUCUACAGGUGUCUCUGGUGGUGUUUGUUGAGUUGGCAUAGAUCAAGAUUAGGAUUUGUCACUCCGAUUGUCGGAGAGGUAUCUCUAGGCCCUCUCGGUAAUGCACAUCACUAUAAGCCUUGCAAGCAAUGUGACUAAUGUGUUAGUUGCGGGAUGAUGCAUUGCGGAACGAGUAAAGAGACUUGCCGGUAAUGAGUGAUUGAACUAGGUAUUGAGAUACCGACGAUCGAAUCUCGGGCAAGUAACAUACCGAUGACAAAGGGAACAACGUAUAUUGUUAUGCGGUUUGACCGAUAAAGAUCUUCUUAGAAUAUGUAGGAACCAAUAUGAGCAUCUAGGUUCCGCUAUUGGUUAUUUACCGGAGAUGAGUCUCGGUCAUGUCUACAUAGUUCUCGAACCCGUAGGGUCCGCACGCUUAACGUUCUGUGACGAUCGGUAUUAUGAGUUUAUCUGUUUUCAUGUACCGAAGGUUGUUCGAAGUCCCGGGUGUGAUCACGGACAUGACGAGGAGUCUCGAAAUGAUCGAGACAUAAAGAUCGAUAGAUUGGAUGGCUAUGUUUGGACAUCAUAAUGGUUCCAAGUGAGUUCGGGCAUUUACCGAAGUACCGGGAGGUUACCAGAACCCCCCGGGGAGUGUAUGGGCCUUAUUGGGCCUUAGUGAGAGAGAGGAGGCGGCCUAGGAGGGGGCGCCACCCCCCUCCAAGCCCAAUCCGAAUUGGGAAGAGGGUCGGCCCGCCUUUCCUUCCUCCCUCUUUCCUCCUUCCUUCCUCUCCUACUCCUACUUGGAAGGGGGGAUCCUACUCCCGGUGGGAGUAGGACUCCCCUAGGGCACACCAUAGAGAGGGUCGGCCCUCCUCCUCCUCCACUCCUUUAUAUACGGGGGAGGGGGCACCCCAUAGACACACAAGUUGAUCAUUGUAUUAGCCGUGUGCGGUGCCCCCCUCCACCAUAAUCCACCUCGUUCAUAUCGUCGUAGUGCUUAGGCGAAGCCCUGCGCCAGUAGCUUCAUCAUCGUCGUCAUCACGCCGUCGUGCUGACGAAGCUCUCCCUCGACACUCAGCUGGAUGGAGAGUUCGUGGGACGUCACCGAGCUGAACGUGUGCAGAUCGCGGAGGUGCCGUACUUUUGGUACUAGGAUCGGUUGGAUCGUGAAGACGUACGACUACAUCAACCACGUUGUCAUAACGCUUCCGCUUACGGUCUACGAGGGUACGUGGACUACACUCUCCCCUCUCGUUGCUAUGCAUCACCAUGAUAGAUCUUGCGUGUGCAUAGGAAUUUUUUUGAAAUAUUUACGUUCCCCAACAGGAGCUUGGGUUCUAUGAUUGGCAAGACAGAAAAGGUGGACAUGCCUUUCACUCGUGCACAAGGGACCGCGAGGUUGCUGGUCAGUGUUGUGAGCCUUGAGUUCAUACCAAAUGUGGUUAGAUGGACACAUGAUGGAGUCACGUACGUUUUAGAGCUUGAGAUCGAGGACACUCCGAUUUCCCCGGAUGGGGAUGAGAUUCAAGAUAUGGAAACAACUGAGGGGGAUGGAGCCCCCGGGAAUCAGGAUAAGGGGUCAGACAAUUCACCACGGGAGUCGGCCAAGGGGCCCAAUGCGCAACCAGAUAAGGCAGAUAACUCUGCCAAGGAGGCACCCCCAUCCACAACUCCGAUGAACACACUUCGCUUUGGUUCGUUUGGAGUGAGGUCGGCUCCUAGUCGGUUAUGGAGCACCAGAGUUGAGGCGGACGACCCGGCGGAACUUGAGCUACCACCGGUGUUGGUCCCUGUCUGUGAGACGAUGACGACCCUUACUACGAGAGAGGUUUCCAAUACCCCACAACAGGCACCACAGGGACUAUGACACACUGACAGUGGCCCAGUCAGGAUGGGUUCCACGCUCGGUGGGCCGGUGGACACUUGCAGGCCGAUCACGAGUGGGGGAUCGUGGGCAGGAGGCCCAUAGCGCCCGUCUAGACGCGUCCGGCUCGACCUCUUUGGGAGGGGCGCCUGGACAGGAGGUCUGAGGUGCUCUUUCUAUCCCGGUUGUCCCGGGCGAACUGGGAGUGAGGUGCGGGCAGGAGCCCCGUGCCUUAACCCCUCCGCAGGACCGCGCCGUGCAGAACGAACAAGGGCCGUGUUGCUCUGUUGGCGGGGGGGAGCGGGACUAUUGAGCAGGUGGCUCCACGGUCCUCUUCCCCCGUGACCACUGCGGGCGAUUUCUGCUCGACCACGCCCUACCCUCCUUCACCGACGCUAGGGGAAGGGCGUGGGAGUCGGGAGCAUACCCCUCAGGAGAGGACAGCGGAGGAGCUUAUCACUUUCGGUAGGAUCGCGGAUCCGGUGACGGCUGGCAGGCGUGUCAACAACCGGAUCCAGGGACAGCCAGAUGCGGACGACCUGCAGCUAGCGCGUGCCAAGAGGGCAGCCAUGCUUCGUCAUGUCGAGGCUAAUACAGGUGCGUCUUUUGAUAAAAGUUGUUCAAUUUUGCAUUUCACAGAGAAUGAAAUAGUGGAUAAGGCAAACGGCUUAAGAAUUUCUUUGGGAUCAAAUGAAACCGAGGUCAUCAAAUCCGUAAACGAUCUUUUAGACUUGGAAGCGGAGAGGGCUUCCGAAAUUAUUCGUAAUCUUGCAUCUAUCAAACCCAUGAAUGACAAUGAAAUGAACAAUUUAGGAAUGGUUGAUCUCGCAAAUAUAUGUAACAAUCUUCUUCCUAGUGCGGAGGCCGAGGAUGAGGAGGGGCUGGAGACUACAGACACGGUAGAGCCUCUAAUGAUGGAGGGCGCAGUUUCUGCCGUCGCCGAUCCUACUUUCCCGCAGGGUGUUGGGGAGAAGCCCAAACGACCCUGGAAGCAGAAAAUUUAUCCUACUUUGGCAGUACGCAGAAGUGCUAGAGUUAAGCUUAAGAAAAAAAUUCAUGAUGACCUAUGAAAGGACUCUUUUGGAAUAACAGAGGUCUAGCUGACUUGGCUAAACGAAGGUUCUUAGCGGAGACAACGAUAGAACAUCACUUAGACUUUAUUGCACUUUUGGAAACAGGAUGAGAUAAUUUUACAUCACAGUUCCUACAAACUCUCUCAAGUGGUACCGAUUUUGACUGGCACAUCUUACCUCCUAGAGGAAGAUCCAGCGGGAUUUUACUAGGAGUGCGGUGUGAGACGCUUGAGGUGCUUAAUGUGGUUCAGGGAGACUUUUCGGUUAAGUUUAGGGUGAGAUCAAAACUGGAUGGGUUCCGGUGGUCUCUUGUAGCUGUCUAUGGGGCAUCACAACCUGAAUUCAAACCAGACUUUUUGGUCGAUUUGGUGCGGAUUUGUGGAGAUGAAACUCUGCCAAUACUAGUCGAGGGGGGAUUAUAAUAUAAUCAGGAGGAGAGAUGAAAAGAACAAUGACAAUUUUGAUGGACGUUGGUCUAUGAUGUUUAACAUGAUUAUCGAGAGUCUUAAUUUGGAAAUAGAACUCACCGGUAGACAAUUUACAUGGGCCAACUCGUUACCCAUUCCGACUUAUGAAAAGUUGGAUAGGGUACUUGCUAGUGUGGAGUGGGAACAAAAGUAUCCUUUGGUGUCGGUCCAUGCGAUGCAGAGAGCGAUCUCAGAUCACACACCACUUCUAUUAGACUCGGGUGAGGCUACCCAUGUGGCAAAUAAAAAUGCCUUCUCCUUCGAACAAAGCUGGUUCGAGAGAGAAGGAUUUUUGGAGAUCAUUGCACACGAAUGGGCUAAGCCUGUUAGUGGAAGGACGCAUAUUGAGAGAUGGCAAAAUAAAAUAAGACAUCUCCGACAGUUUUUGAGAGGUUGGGCCAGAAAUGAGAGUGGGAUUUACAAACAAGAAAAAGAGCGUCUUACUCAAUUAAUUGAGGCACUAGACUUAAAGGCUGAAGACGCUUAAGGUUAAUGAGCAAAGAUCCAAGUCCGGGGCUGAUCAAGGUCUACGAGCUCUCUUGAGAGAGGAGGAGCUCAAGUGGGCAUUGCGUGCUAAAACGCUUAAGGUUGUCCAAGGGGACGACAGUACGCAAUUCUUCCACAUGGUUGCAAAUGGUAAACAUAGGAAGAAGAAAAUCAUACAGCUUGAACAGGACGAGGGACAAUAGUGGGGCAUGAAAAUCUGAAAGCGUAUAUCUCUAAUUACUAUAAACAACUUUUUGGACCCCCCGAAUGCAAGUACGGUGACACUAGAUGAAUCUGUGAUUGAUGAUAUACCUCAAUUACAGGCAGCGGAGAAUGAUAUUCUCUCUGCACCGUUUACUGAAAAAGAGGUUAUUCAGCCAAUAUCACAAAUGAAACCGAAUAAAGCACCGGGUCCAGAUGGGUUUCCGGCUGAAUUCUAUAAGAAAUGUUGGCAUAUUAUUAAAGAUGAUCUUAUGCCUAUGUUUCACAAUUUUUUCAACGGUCAUUUAGAGCUGUUUCGUCUUAACUUCGGUACGAUAACUUUGUUACCAAAGAAAGAUGAGGCAGUUCGGAUCGAACAAUUCUGGCCCAUAUGUCUGCUUAAUGUGAGUUUCAAAAUUUUCACAAAGGUUGGAACCAAUAGAUUGACACAAAUUGCUCAUUCAGUGAUCCAACCGAGCCAGACAGCGUUCAUGCCAGGGCGACACAUACUGGAAGGGGUGGUCGUUCUGCAUGAAACGCUUCAUGAGAUCCACUCGAAGAAGCUGGAUGGGGUUAUCCUCAAAGUGGAUUUUGAGAAGGCGUAUGAUAAAGUAAAGUGGCCUUUUCUUCAGCACGCAAUGCGCAUGAAAGGUUUUAGUGAAGCCUGGAGGAGCCAAGUGGAUACCCAAGUCCAGAAGGGUAGUGUCGGAAUCAAGGUGAACGAUGAUAUCGCUCAUUAUUUUCAGACACAUAAGGGGUUGAGACAAGGGGAUUCCAUGUCUCCUCUUCUAUUUAAUAUUGUGGCAGAUAUGUUGGCCGUCAUUAUUGGCAAGGCCAAGCAGCAUGGCCAUGUAGAGGGGUUAGUUCCUCAUCUAGUCGAUGGAGGGGUAUCCAUUCUACAGUAUGCUGAUGACACUAUCCUAUUCAUGGAACAUGACAUGGCUAAGGCACGUAAUAUGAAACUUAUCCUAUGUCUCUUCGAACAAUUGUCUGGCUUAAAAUUAAUUUUCAUAAGAGCGAGUUGUUUUGCUUUGGGAAGGCCAAAGACGAGGAACACACUUACAGACAAUUGUUCGGAUGUGAAUUAGGUGCUUUACCAUUCAGUUACUUGGGUAUACCGAUCCACCACCGUAAGUUAUCCAAUAAAGAAUGAAAGUGUAUUGAAGAACGAAUUGAAAAAAACUUAGCUGCUGGAAGGGCAAGCUUAUGUCAUAUGGAGGUCGGCUAGUCCUGAUUAACUCGGUACUGACUAGUAUGCCGAUGUUUCUACUUUCGUUCUUCGAAAUUCCGAAAGGGGUUCGAAAGCGACUUGAUUUCUUUAGAUCUCGUUUCUUCUGGCAGUCUGAUGAGGCCAAGAGGAAAUACCGUCUCGCGCGAUGGGAUAUCCUUUGCCGACCUAAAGACCAAGGGGGUCUCGGUAUUGAGAACUUAGAAAUUAAUAAUAAAUGUCUUAUGAGCAGAUGGCUAUACAGGCUAGAGACAGAGCCGGAGGGUAUGUGGUCACAAAUCAUGCGCAAUAAGUAUUUACACUCGAAAACACUAGCCCAGGUUACCAUGAGACCGACUGACUCGCCAUUCUGGAAGGGACUUAUGAGAGCGAAGGACUUGUUCUUUCGUAGGGUCAAAUUCUUAGUUGGCAAUGGGAUGUCAACAAGAUGUUGGGAGGAUACGUGGUUAGGAGAGACGCCCCUGGCCGUCCAUUAUCCCACCCUUUGUAAUAUUGUGCAACGUAAGGAGGAUUACGUAGGCACAGUCCUUCAAACAAUUCCCUUGAACAUUCAGUUCAGACGUGUGUUAGUUGGUGAGAGAUGGACUGCCUGGAUGCAUUUGGUUCGGAGACUGAUAGAAGUUCAACUCUCGGACCAGCCGGAUUCAUGACACAAUGGAAGUUAACUAAGAAUGGGAUUUUUACGGUGAAAUCAUUCUAUAUGGAUUUGAUUAAUUCUGGCUCAAUCUCAAGAUCGUUGCACAUUUGGAGGGUUAAGGUUCCUUUGCGUAUUAAAAUCUUUAUGUGGUUCGUCCACAAGCAAGUGAUACUCACAAAGGAGAACUUAAUCAAAAGGCGAUGGGUACAAAGUUCGCGGUGCUGUUUUUGUGAUCAUGAUGAAACAAUACAACACUUAUUUCUUGAAUGCCCACUUGCCAAAUUACUUUGGAGAACGAGUCAUAUAGCUUUUAACAUUUUUUUUUGAGAAUCACAGGGGGGAGCUCCCCCACCUGAAUAUAUUACUCAAAGGACUGCCGAGGCAGUAAGUACAGCAUUACAUAGGCACGGUGCACCGUGCAGAGAGGUAGGAACGCCAUGAGAAGACGUCCCCCUUGUCCUGUGGGACCACAAGACGAUGAGACCAGAGAUCCAGAGCGGAAAUAAAGUUUCUAAGGGUUAUUACAGAACUUUGAUCAAUCGUCCUAAAUACCAUGUCAUUGCGAGCAGACCAGAUCAUCCACAGCAGGGCCAGGAGGACCGAAGGCCAUGUGGAGGUAGGGAGGUGAGGAGGGGUAUCGACAUCCCAGAGGUCUGUGAUAUCGUCAGACUGGGGCAGAAGGCCAAGACGUUGCCAGAUCCUAUUGGCGAGUGGGCAUGAGAUGAACAGGUGGCUGGAGUCUUCUGGCAGCCUUGCACAGUGAGGGCAUAUAUCUGAGGCGAUUAUAUGUUUGUGUGCAAGGUUGCACCUGGUGUUGAGGCGGUCUUUGAAGAGCAGCCAAGCGAAGACUUUGAGCUUUCGAGGAAUCUUUGCGGACCAAAUAAGCGGAGCAUGAGGAUCGUGAUCUGGCUGCUCCAUGAGGGCGGCGUAUGCAUGUUUGGUGGAGAAGGCAAUGCCAUGUCGAAGGAACCGUUGGUCUUCCCCAGCCGAAGGCAUAAAUCCUGCAAAACAGCCACCAGCGAGACAAGUUCUUGUUCUGCCGUGAGAGAGAGACGGUUACGGAGGUUAGCUUGAAUACCGAAACGCAGAAUGUCAGCCACUUUAACCAGCUUUAGGGUGGAGUGGGUGAAUAAGUGGGGGAAGGUAAUGGCCAGGGGUUGUGGAGUCAACCAGGUAUCUAACCAAAAGUAGGUGUGUGAACCACUGUUUGUUAACACAAAGGUUAUAUUUUGUAAAGAAGUGAGCUGCUGUGAAAUUGUGCGGCAGAGGAAAGAGGUUUGCGGGGGUGGGGAGACUAGAGCAUUAGGGUGUUGGAGAUCUAGCCAUUCUAGCCAAGGGGUGUGUGUAGUGGAGAGAGCUUUGGCAGUGAAUUUCAUAAGAAGACAGUUGUUUUGUACAUGUAGGUUUUUGAGCCCUAAACCAUCGUAUUUUUUUGGGAAGCAAACAUUUUUUCAUGCAAUAAGACAUUGAGCACCUGAGCAAGCGUCCUCACCUGCCCAAAAAAAAUGCCCUCCUCAACGAAUCCAGAGUUUUGAUUGUUUUUAUUUGGGAUGCGGAACACAGACAUGAAAUAAACGAGGAUUGAAUCCAGAACUGAAAUAAACGAGCUUUUAACAUUAGUGACACACGCACUUGCAUCGUAGAUCGUACACCGCCCUUGACGAUUUAUUCCUAUUUUGGAUCACAGAUUCACGGCCCACUUGUGAAAAUGAAGCUUUCGGGGGGAAAAGAUGCCCCCAACUUCCGUUCAGACUAACUGGCUUGCACGCACUAACAAAGAACUGAAAUCCUGCAGGAAACUCCUAGCUUUUAAUUUCCGUUCAUGUUCCCAGCUAGGUCAACUCUACUGUUCUCUCUUCCAGCAAUACCACAAGCCUCGUGGCCGUAGUUUCCACCGCGUGGCGUGGUCAGUCCCGCAGAGCCACACCUCCAUUUUGCACACGGCAGCUAUCUCAGCAACGUCUUGAUCUGUUGCCUUCAACAGUAGAGUGAUACACACACACACAGCUCCAUUCCAUUGGAGUAGAUUGUAGCACAGCUGCACCGACGAUCUCUUGCUAGUUUGGACCACAGUGCACAUGCGAAAAGAGGUAAUAGCACCCUAGGUACCCUAACUUGCACAGGAUGUGAUGAUUCAGU
rnacentral:lncRNA from 1 species